rnacentral:tRNA from 1 species
GGAGAGGUGCGGGAGUGGUUUAUCCGGGCGGUCUCGAAAACCGUUGUGGCGCUCGCGCCACCGUGGGUUCGAAUCCCACCCUCUCCGCCA